rnacentral:rRNA from 1 species
GACGAACGCUGGCGGCAUGCCUUACACAUGCAAGUCGAACGGUAACGCGGGGCAACCUGGCGACGAGUGGCGAACGGGUGAGUAAAGCAUCGGAACGUGCCUAGUAGUGGGGGAUAGCACGGCGAAAGCCGGAUUAAUACCGCAUACGACCUAUGGGUGAAAGGGGGGGAUCGCAAGACCUCUCGCUAUUGGAGCGGCCGAUGUCAGAUUAGGUAGUUGGUGGGGUAACGGCCUACCAAGCCGACGAUCUGUAGCUGGUCUGAAAGGACGACCGGCCAACCCGGGACUGGGACACGGCCCAGACUCCUACGGGAGGCAGCAGUGGGGAAUUUUGGACUAUGGGGGCAGGCCUGAACCAGCCAUGCCGCGUGCGGGAAGAAGGCCUUCGGGUUGUAAACCGCUUUUGUCAUGGAAGAAAUCCUUUGGGUUAAUACCUCGGGGGGAUGACGGUACCUGAAGAAUAAGCACCGGCUAACUACGUGCCAGCCGCCGCGGUAA